rnacentral:lncRNA from 1 species
GUUGAAUUAAAUGUGAAGAUUUGUUUAAAGGAAAACAUUGAUUUGUUUCGAUUUACUGCAAAUUUCAGAAAUUAAAAUUGCAUUUUAGUUUAUGCAUAAAACUUGGCAUUAUAAUGUCAAAGAAUAAUCAUGGCAGUAAAUAUAUUUAAAAUUUUGUCUGUUUUUCUAUAUCGUGUGCAUAAAUUUAUUUGUUUAUCUCUUUUUAUUGAUUGGAGAUAAAUAUUAACACUGAUAAACACACAUCAUUUUUUUUGUUUUUGAAAGGUCAUGAAGAAGUGGCAAUUACUAUGAGUAUAACUCAUUUUUUAUUUUGAAUCUCAUUACAUCAUUUAUAUUUCAUUUGAUUAUGCUGUCUUGGAGAAAUAAGUUAUAAUUUGCAAAUUACUAUGUCUAUCAUGGCAUGUGUGGUAGACACAAUAUUUUGUGCAUACAAUAUGUUAUUUUGAAACCAAAUGUAAGUGUUUAUCAAAUAAUGGAUGUGGUGGGGAAAUAAAAAUACCUCAUUUUUGUCUCAAAUUAUAAAAUAGGCAGUCAAUUGAAAUUAUAUUCAAUAUAGUUGACACAUUUUUUUUACUGAAAUUGAUCUAGUCCAAUUUAUACUUAACUUAUUAUUUUUUUUAAAUAUCUAUCAAACCAUCAGCUUUAUACAUGUUAAUUAUUCAUACAUACUAUGUAUUCUUAUUGAACCUUACAAUUCAAGUAAAUAUUUAUGAAAUCCAAAUAUGUUUGAAAUCUCAAUCUUUUUUAAGGCUUGUUAAUCAUGAAUAUUUUGGCAUUUUUCAGCAUUUGUAGUUUAGACUUUUCAAAACUUGACUAAUCUGCAGGCAGUUAUUUGUAUGUUAGCAUAAAGGUAUUACAGAAAAAAAACAAAGGACAUUGGUUAUAUUCCUCAUACUUUACAUUUCAUGACCCAUAAAAUUCCCAUUUUAGCAAGGCUUAUUGACAAUAUAAUAGAUUUCAUAACAAAAACAUACAUUCCUUUCCUCCAUUGACAAUUUUUUAACACAUACCUGUCAGAUUUGCAUAGGAUUUUUUCAAUUAAAAGAAAUUAUCAGGUUUAAAGUAUCAAUGCAUCGCAAAAAGGAAUAUUUAAUCAAUGAAAUUCCAGUCAGAUAUUCUCUUGAAUACCCUUUUUAUAUUAGAUACAAAUUUUAUUAGGUCGGAUAAAGAUUUUUUUCCUAGGUAAGACGUUUCAACUGAGGCACUACACAGCCAUCAAAAGGCGUCAUUAUGGAGUAAAGGGGGUGGCGUUGAAAAGUGUCAUUAUGGAGAAAAGGGUUAACAUUUGUCGUGUCGGAUUGAAUUUAAUCAGAUUUCUGCAGGACUAAUGUUUUGUAUGUAAGGUACAGCUCUUAUACGUGAUGCAAGAUCCGGUCUUGUCAGAUUGUCGUAAAAUUGAUAUCAAAGUUAAGCAUAUAUCAUAGAUGUCUCAGCAGGGUUUUGAAAACCUUCACAAUUUGAUUUUUAAGGAAGUGAUGCCUUUUGAUAAGUGCUAUUUUUUGUAUGGAAUAUUGAAUUGUAAGUGCUAUUAAUUGUUUGGAAAAUUGCAUUUUUAGUGCUAUUAAAUGUAUGGAAAAUUGAAUAGUAAGUGCUAUCAAAACUACAUAUCUUGUUAGAUUUUUAUGAUAUUUAUAUGAACAGUUCAUAUUAAAAUUUUGUAAUAUGCAGUAUUAUUGGAAAGUGAAAAUGUUGACACUACUUAGGUCAUGUAAAAGCAUAAUUAUUUUUUAUACAAAAUGUAUUGAGUCAAAUGUUUUAUUGCAUUUGUUUCCCGGAAAUUUUAGAAUGGUUUCUACUCAUUGUCUACAUUUAAACUUUUCUGUAUUCAUUAAAACCAUCUGAAUCAAUGACAUUGUGUUAUCUUGUGGUGACUUAUUUGGUGGGGAUUAGACAUGUUUUGAAGCUAGAAUCAGGAAUGGUCAAUAUUGAAAGUUUACAAAGAUUCAUAAUCUGUAGAAUAAAUGGUAUCAUAUUCUGGUAUUUUAUUGACCCCUUUCUCCAGACACUCUUGAUGGUGGAAAUAAAAAUAAAUCCAAGUUUGCCAAGCAUAUGUUUUGUUAUAUUUUUUUUAAACCAUGGAAAAGGGGGUAUACAGGUUUACCUUUGUCAAUCUCUCUUGAAUUCAUUUAUGUUACAAUUUCCACAGCCACUACAAAUCAGAGGUUUUUGGUAUGUAUAGCCAUUCCUAUUGGGAAGUUAGACUGACACUUUUUCAGAUUUUCACUUUCUACAACUGGCUUGCUUCAAACAGAUUUAUUUUUCACAAUAUAGAUGUUUAACAAAUUGUUUCAAUUUUUUCUCAACAACUACAGAUCAAAAACAUUGAAGAUAAGAUAAAAAAUGAACAAAUUAGGUGCAUUAUGGCAUUUAUUAGUUAAGAUUCUAAGCAAGGUGUUGUUUAAAUUUAAUUAAGCUUAAAAUUCAAGUAACACUACGUCAUUGUUUAGAAAAAGUAAAUAUAACAGAGUCAAUGUCAUACAAAAAGAAACCCAAAACUCAACUCAUUCUCAAGAAGAAAUGAACUAGGACUGCAUCAUGUGAAAAACUUAUCAGAAUUAUAAUUAAAUACGCCAGACACACAUUUCUUAUACUCAAGACCCAUCCACAGAGCUUAAAUUAAAAGAGUUAAAAGGCCAAAAUCAAGACAAAGUUGAAGAGCAUUGAACAAAAAAAACGUUCAAAAUUGUGCCGAAUCUGGCUAUUGGUAUAGAUAGAGCUUAUGUUUUUUUAUGUUCUACCUCGCUUUGCUCAUCCAAACAUAAAUUAUUUCUUAUUCUAUAUAAAGAAACAACAAAGACUAAUAUGGCAGGAGAUACACAC